rnacentral:sRNA from 1 species
AUGUACCCACGUAAAUUCCGGUUCCUCCGCGCCGUCCGCACCCACCUGACGGCUGCUCGCUACGUUUUGUCAGCC